rnacentral:rRNA from 1 species
UACGGAGGGUUCAAGCGUUGUCCGGAAUCACUGGGCGUAAAGGGCGCGUAGGCGGCUCAUGAAGGCUGUGGUGAAAGUCCGGGGCUCAACCUCGGAUCGGCCGUGGCGACUCGUGGGCUGGAGCACUGUAGAGGCGGGUGGAAUUCCGGGUGUAGCGGUGGAAUGCGUAGAGAUCCGGAAGAACACCAGUGGCGAAGGCGGCCCGCUGGGCAGUGGCUGACGCUGAGGCGCGACAGCGUGGGGAGCAAACAGG